UAAAAACCCUUUUGUGUUUACCUCUGAAAUUUAACCCCUUUUGUUUGUUUCUCUUUAUUUUGAGUCUUGAUUUGGGUUUUAUUUGUGUUAUGGUUAGUGGGUGUUUCUUCAAAAUACAGUCUUUGGCACUUACUUAAAAAGCUGUGAGCUUUUUGCGAACUAAUUACUUAUUAUAUGCUGCAACGUGAUUAGUGUUUAAGGGAACCUAUCCAGGAAAAAAGGAACUUUUUUAGGGAUAUUAUACAGGGUUUAAGGUUUAGAGCAUAGAAGGCCAGUUUGUUUUUGGUCUUUGGUUAGGUAUAUGGACAAGCACUUCUAGUUGAAAAGCACAUUUUUUACUUAUAGCAUUUCUAAAAGUUUCGCGCAUUAGUUUUUUAACAAGAUAAAGCAUUUUUUAUGUUACCAUUCUAAAAGAAGAAGAUAAAGCAUUGUUUUUAUUAUGUUUGAUCUUAGAAUUCUGUUGCAAUGUUCGUCUUGUCUGAAAUUCAUUCAAUUUCCUUUUAUGAUUUUGAGAAGAAAGUUUGGUGCAAUCUAGGUGUAUUUAUACUAUCUAGCUAUGAGAAAGUGUCAACAGAUGAGCUAUAGAAUUUCACAUGCCUUAGAUUUCCACUUCAUGCUGCAGAUUCCAGCUGUUCCUAUGAAAUUUUCCCUGAAGUUUGUAAAUCUUUCAGUUAGCUUUUAAAAAGAUUAACUGGAUCUGUUCUUAUAAGUGCAUAAUCUAUCCUCGCAUCUUUCAAGUAUUGGCUACAGAGCAUAGAGAACUAAAUUUAAGUGAGAUCAGAAUAUUAAUAUAUUAUUCAUUCAAAGGCCUGGUAGGUCCUUGUCUUUGCUUGUACUCCGAUUAUAUCGUUUACUAUGUUAUUUGUCGUAUUAUCUUGAUGCUAUUACUGCUUAUUAUUACUGUUUAUUAUUCCUGAUGCUUUUUCAUUUCUCUUUGAGCCGGGGGUCUUUCGGAAACAGCCUCUCUACCCGUCAAAAGGUUGAGGUAAGGUCUGCGUACACUCUACCCUCCCCAGACCCCACCUGGUGGGAUUAUACUGGGCAUAUUGUUGUUGUUGGUUAGGUAUAUGGACAAGCAGCUCCAAUUAGUUUUUAUGUCUGAAUUUCAACCCCUUUUAUUUGUUUCUCUUUAUUUUGAGUCUUGAUUUGGGUUUUAUUUGUGUUAUCUUUAGUGGGUAUUUCAUCCAAAUACAAUCUUUGGAACUUACUUAUGGUGUUGAACUUUCUGUGGUUAUUUGCUUGCUUUUUUGCUGCUACUCGUUUAGAGUCUAAGGGAACAUAAAAACCCUUUUUGUUGUGAUUUCUGAAACUCAUCCACUUUAUUUGUUUCUCUUUAGCCUGGAUUGGGAUUUUGUUGUCGUUAUCUUUAGUGGGUAUUUCUUCAAAAUGUAGUCUUUGGAACUUACUUAAGUUGUUGAACUUUGUGUGACCAUUCACUUAUUUUUGCUGCAACUUGUUUAGAGGAAGGAACCAAAAAAAAAAAAAAACUCUUUUUUACGGAUACCAGGUAGGGUUUAAUGUUUAGGGCGUAGAAGGCCAGUUAUGCUUAUGCAUACGUUUUCUUUUCGUUGUCUUUUUAUUGCUUAUUUGGUUUUUGUUUUCCCUAAUAUUGGUGCAUCAAUAACUAUUGGAGACCCCUCUGUAUUUGGAUUGAUUUCUGUUAUGGGUACUAAGUAUUCCUUUAAGAAUCUGAUUUUCAUGAAUGUGGUUAUGUUUUUUGAGCUUUGUGUGACUGCUCCCUUUUUGCUGCAUCUUAUAUUGGGUUUAAGGGAUAUUGUUUAGUAUUUAAGGUUCAGGGCACAUAGGAUAAGACCGUUUACAGCUUAAGUAUACUCUUGCUUUUAUGUAUUUUUUAUUUUUAAAGUUCCUGGGGUUUUGUUUUCCCGUUUCCACAAUUUCUAACCAUAUAAAUGGGUAAAUUUAUAUCCAAGGCCGCAUGUUUGAGUUUAGGUUCUAACACUUCUCACCAGGGUACCUAGUUUGUUUAAGAAGAUAAAUUAUUGUGUGUUGGAAUGAAACAACUUCAAACAAAACGUAACGGAUAUUGAGGAUUCAAGUAGCUAAGUCCAACUAAUUUGGGAUUGAGGCGUACUUGUUUUUUGUUUUGUUUUCCGUAAUAAUUGAGACUGUAAGCCUUUUUCUCCUCCCAUUUGACAUGAUGCUUCUGCUAUCGUAAGACAACUGCUGAUUCUGCAUUUCAAACCAUUGAGAUUUGCUUAAAUUUCUCAAAUAAUGUGCCAACUUUUGCAUAAUGCGGAAUCAUAUUCUACUCUGCAUUGAAAAAUAAGAUCUUAUUUUUGCGUAUUUAUAUAAGCUUACAUUUGAGGAAAAAACUAAGAACUGAAAUGCAGUGACUUAUCUUCUACAUCUACAUCUACAUCUACAUCUAAUGUGUAGGUUCUCUUCUUUUAGUAUACUGUAUACGGGGAUCAAAAAAAAUCUUCUACAUCCAACAUGUGAAGAAGAGUGACUUUUAUUUAGAUGGACGUGUUAAAAAGUAAUGCAAAGUGAAAAACAAGAUGGUCUAUCCUUGCAUUUUGAUUAAGUGUAUAUUUUCAAUGCAGCUUAAACCGUGUGAAUUUGUUGACAGUAACAGGAAAAUAGAUUUAUUAUCUUAACCCACUGGAAUUUCACUUAAGUGGUGUAAGAAGUUUCAGCAUGUCUACAGUUUAAGGAUCAAUGUUAUUUUAUCAGGAAAGAAUUCAUAGUUUGAAGUAUCAAUCAUCAAUGUUCAACGUCUGAAUCACAUAA